CGACAAUUAUAUACUCAAAAAAUAAAAAUUCUGGCAGAGAAAACCAAUGAGGGACUUUUUUACAUAUUAAUAUGCUAUGUAAAUGUCAGUUAUAAAAACUGUCCAUAGAAUAAUGCAACAUAACAAAAUACUCAGAAAGUUACCGUAAUACAUUAAAUAAAUCUGAAGUGGAAAGACGUCCCAUUCAACAAAUAUGAAUAUGUUGAGCUCUGGGGAAAAAGCUGCGUUCCUACUUGGACAAAGAUGAAUUCAAAAUGUGGUAAUGAUUUAAAUAUAAGAAGCCAUAAAGUAGAGAAGAAACAUGGGAGAUUUCCUUCAUAAACCCAGAGAGUGGAAAUCCUUUACACAUUUGACAAAAAUAUUCUGAAGCCAUAAAAAAGAUUGAUAAAUGUAAUGAUAUAAAGAUCAAAAACUACUAGAUGACAAAAGACAAAAAACACAGUCAAAAGAUAAGGACCAAACAGAAAAAUAUCAAUAACUAAUAUUGCAUACAAGGACUCACAAUAUAUAAAGAAAUCUACAAUUAGAUAAGAAAGCGAAUAUGGUCUGGUUCUCUGUGUCCACCCAAAUCUCAUCUUGAAUUGUACUCCCAUAAUUCCCAUAUGUUGUGGGAGGGAUCUCGUGGGAGAUAAUUUGAAUCAUGGGGGUGGUUUUCCUCAUACUGCUCUCAUGGUAGUGAGUAAGUCUCACAUGAGAUCUGAUGGUUUAUCAGGGGUUUCCACUUUUCUAUAUUCCUCAUUUUCUCUUGCCACUGCCAUGUAACAAGUAUCUUUGUUCUUCUGCCAAGAUUCAGAGGUCUCUCCAGCCAUGUGGAACUGUCUCUGGUUGUUACAAGAAAAAAAGAAAAAAUAAUAAGAAAAUAUCCAAGAACCAAGAAACCAUAUAAACCAAGAAAAAAAAAGAAAGAAAGAAAAGAAGAGGAAGAAGAAGAAGGAGGAGGAGGAGGAGGAGAAAAAGGAGAAAUAUAAUUAAUUCCAAGUAAAACAGAAAUAUAGCCAAAUAAACAUUUUACUGGAA
rnacentral:lncRNA from 1 species